UAUUACAUGUCUAGGAAUUACGGUAAGUGA
rnacentral:piRNA from 1 species